CCUACGGGAGGCUGCAGUAGGGAAUCUUCCACAAUGGGCGAAAGCCUGAUGGAGCAACGCCGCGUGGGUGAAGAAGGUCUUCGGAUCGUAAAACUCUGUUGUUAGAGAAGAAAGUGCGUGAGCGUAACUGUUCACGUUUCGACGGUAUCAAACCAGAAAGCCACGGCUAAUUCCGGGCCAGCAGCCGCGGUAAUACGGAGGUGGCAAGCGUUAUUCGGUUUUAUUGGGCGUAAGGGGAACGCAGGCGGGCUUUUAGGUCUGAUGUGAAAGCCCUCGGCUUAACCGGGGUAGUGCAUUGGAAACUGGAGGGCUUGAGUGCGGAAGAGGAGGGUGGAACUCCUGGUGUAGCGGUGAAAUGCGUAGAUAUAAGGAAGAACACCAGUGGCGAAGGCAGCUCUCUGGUCUGUAACUGACGCUGAGGUUCGAAAGCGUGGGUAGCAAACAGGAUUAGAUACCCGAGUAGUC
rnacentral:rRNA from 1 species